AAGUCGUAACAAGGUUUCCGUAGGUGAACCUGCGGAAGGAUCAUUACAACGUAUCCACGUACAAACUCGCGAACUGUUCCCUUUAGAGUAAACAACUUGUGGAUGAAGUUAAUGGUUGAUUGUCUUUCGCUGGUGGAGUUCUGGGCUUUUGCCUAGGACUGAAAGCUUCAAUCGCUGGUGAAGGUUCUGCUUUCGCUGGGACUUCGUUUACUCUACUGUGGUUUCCUACCAUCGGCGGAUUUGUUUUACCCAUUAUUAACCCCAUGUAAAUUUUGCACUGAACUAGUAACUGAGUUUGCAGUCCUUGUUGGCUUCGGUCACGGACUACAGCUCUGUUAUUUUUUACAAAACAAAGAACAACUCUUAGCAACGGAUAUCUUGGUUCUC
rnacentral:misc_RNA from 1 species